AUCUCUGAUUACCUAUGUUUUAGUUUGCAGAAAACACCUUCAUAGAGUUUCCAUCCAAAGGAGAUGCACAAAAAUUGCUUUGUGUCGUGUAUGAAAGCCAUGGGGGUAUUGCCAUAAAUAGGCCUUUUAAGCAUGGUGACACAGUCAAGAGUGUAUACAGCUGGAUAGUUCAAGAAAUAGAUCCUGAAAUUCUACCCCCUGUGUUUCACCUGGAGUGUUAUGCUCCAACAAUGUGCAAGGAUAAAGGCUGCCCCCACAUAUAUGAGUUAGGCAACUCCCAUAAAGUAAAGGUUGAAGAGUUGCCGGAUGUUCUAUACCUUCGUGAAGGGUGUUUUGCUGUAAAUGAUACUUUCACUGGUCUGGGAGAUGUCCUGAUAUGAAUCUACACAUAGACGGUAAUGGAACCAAACUCAGCAGCAGCUUUGGCAGUUUUCUUUGCUUUAUACACUGGUAUCAAGCAAUUCUUUUUUGUGUAAUUAUGAUUCAAAUUAAAGUAUUUGUAAAUGGAGUGUUUUAUCAGGGGCCGAAAUGUGGCAUCUCCAAUUACACCACAUUUAUUUAUUUCAAAUUGUAAUAAUUUUUGUAAUCUAUAGUUUCCUUUUGAUAUUGUAAUUGGAGUGUUUUAUCGUGGGCGGUAAUAGGGCCACUCCUUUCACACUACAUUUAUAUAUUUGUAAUAGUUCUUGUAAUCUAUAGUUUCCUUUUGAUAUUGUAAUUGGAGUGUUUUAUCGGGGGCGGUAAUAGGGCCGCUCCUUUUACACUACAUUUAUAUAUUUGUAAUAGUUCUUGUAAUCUAUAGUUUCUUUUUGAUAUUGUAACUGGAGAGUUUUAUCGGGGGUGGUAAUAGGGCCACUCCUUUUACACCACAUUCAUAUACAUGUAAUUGUAAUACUUUUUGUAAUCUAUAGUUUCUUUUUGAUAUUGUAAUAGGAGUGUUUUAUCAGGGGCAGUAAUUGGGCCAAUCCAAUUACACCACAUUUGUAUAUUUGUAAUACUUUCUGUAAUCUUUAUUCUUUUUCGUAAUUGGAGUGUUUUAUCGGGGGCGGUAAUGGGGCCGCCCCAAAUACACCUCAGUUAUAUAUUUGUAAUACUCUCUGUAAUCUAAGUCUUUUUUGUAAUUGGAGUGUUUUAUUUGGGGGCAGUAAUGGGGCCACUCCAAUUUCCGAACAUGGAAUACUUUUCGUAAUGUUUUGAUUUUUUGAAUAUUAUAAUUGGGAUGUUUUAUCCGGAUAGGAAAGGGGCUACUCCAAGUACACUGCAUAAUAUAUAUAUAUUUUUUUAAAUUGGAAUACUUUUUUGAAAGGAUGAUGUGACAUAACUGCUAUCUGGGGCCCCUUUUUCCACGACGAAUUAUAUUUAAUCUACAACGAUGUUGGUAGUUUUCAAAUAUGAGUGAAUAAAUACGAUGCCUUUUGAAGAGUUUCAAUAGUAUAGACACGUUUUUAUUAUAAGGGAUACUGCAUUAUCUUUGAUUUUUUAGACCCUAUCACAGUUAAAUUCGGCCAGGUUUGUGAGAAUAUUUUCUUUUAUGGCAAGAGAAUGGGCGGGUCUUAGUACAAUAGAGGGAUAUGCGUGUUCGAGAAGACCUUAUAUGGCUAUUGUUAUUAUUUCGCACUUAGUCAUUGUCCAAUCCGAUGACAGAACAACAAAACAUGCUUGUUUAGUACGUUUACAUUUCAUCGCAGACACGUGGUUUAGGUCAAUUUACCUGUUAUCCUUUUUCUACAUUUCAUACUUUUAUAAUGGUCAGCCAAUGCUGUUUACACUGAAUAAUACGCAUGUAUUUUCAGCAUUUAUGGUUUUUAGGACAAGAAAUGCACAUGAAACUUGUAUUCACCGAUACUUGGGAGUACAUGUAGACCUAGCGAAUUGCUCAACAAACACACUACAAAACUUUAAACUAAUGUAUAUCAUGUAUAUUCUAUAAAUUGUUUGUAACUGUAUAUAAAUUUAACUGUGGUCUUGGAAAUGGUACAUAUGUAGAUCCGUGUCUAAUCUGUAACUCAAAUGCAUAAAAAAAUAUCGGAAAGCAGUAAAAUUUCAAGCAUGUUUACAUUCUAAUUUUGUGGUACUCACUCGUAACGAAUUUCAUUUAGCUGAUUGGUCAGUUAGAAAGUAUCGCCUGUGCCUCAAUUAGCAUAUGAAUUCAUUCUUACGUCAGAAUAUCUAGUUCCGUCGAUCUGUUUAUAAUGGGAAAGGGCAAUUAGAAUUUACAAUUUUUUUAAAAAUAGCAUGUGAGCGCAGUUAGGUACAAUUUACUCCUUUCACAUAUAGGUAGAAUACAAUGAAAUACAGUGACCAACCAAAGGAGAAAAUUGUACCUAUCUGCGCUCGUAUAUUUUAAGGGCUUCAAAGAGUGGGCGGGGUUAAAAUGCAAUGGGAAUUGAAUGUAAACAUGAUACCCCUACCCCAAUCUAAGAUCUAUAUCUUUCAAAUCACGUUUCUAUUUUUGUAAAAAAUAGUAUUCUAUGAUGGUACACAUAUCAGUGAUUAGUUACAUACAAAAAUUUGAGUAAAAUUUAGACAUUUAUUUUUUUGUCAAUAUACGAGGGGCCGCAAGUCACCUCAUCCUUUGUAAAAGUCACUUUUAUGCACAUGUAAUAAAAAUUUUGAGGUUAUAUAGUAUUUAUUAUCGUGUCCAUUCAUCUGUCUGUCUGUUUGUACACAUAAACUAAAACCUUGCCCAUAACUUUUGAUUAAUUAGUGAAUCUAUGGCUUUCAAAGUGCUUAUGGGUAUUCCUUAUGAAAAGAACUUUGUUUGGGUACCAGCAAAGUUGAUGAUGACCUUGAAGUUUAAUACACUUUUACACAAAAUUCCAAACUUUUGAUUUGCUCAUAACUUUUUAACAGUAGAUACUAGAACCUUCAUACUUCACAUAUUUUUUCAAAAAUACCUUUCACUUGACAUCAACAACUUUGACCUUCUCUCACAAGUUAAUAAAAAAAAAAAAACAUUCACCUUCAUCCCUGAUGACUAGGGUGGCCACAAUGGGCUAUCAGAGUUUUGCAUUUAAUAUUUAAUAAAAUUCAUUUGUUUAAACAGGUCAUAUUUUGGAAAUGUCAUGAUUGCAUGAAUAUGUAUUUUUAUUAAUAUAUUAGCAAUUUGUGUAUACAUGUGUACAGCAUUAAACAAAUUCAAUCGUUUGUCACAUCUCAUUAUACCCCCCCCCUCCCACAAACAGAGUUGGGGGAGGGGUUUAUAUAGGAAUAACCUUGUCUAUCUGUCUGUUGGUCUAGCUGUCUAUGCAAACGUGUCCAGUCCAUAUCUUUUUUAUGUAUCAACUUGGUAUGUUCUUGUUUUAAUUACAUAAUAUUUCUUAUGUCUUGAGGGUAUUGAUCUACAGUCAUUGUUGUAAACAUGGAUAUAUAAUGCAUCCAUACUUUCCAAUAGUGAUAUAUAUUUUAAAAUUUGGUUGAUUCAUUUUUUUUCACAUUAUUAUAUUUGAUACAAAUUUAAAUAUUGUAAAAGUGUGUACAUAAAAAGUUUAGAUUCAAUUGUUUUUAUUUGUGGGAAAAUUUGUCAUAAAAUGUGUAAAUAAAAUGUUCAAUGAAUUGUUUGUUUAUUUGUGGGAAAAUCUGUAACAUGAAUAUGUUUGAACUGUUAUCAAACCGGUAUUCUAUAUAGCAUGAUCAAGGUA